UACGAAGGGGGCUAGCGUUGUUCGGAAUGACUGGGCGUAAAGGGCGCGUAGGCGGAUGGCACAGUCAGAUGUGAAAUUCCCGGGCUUAACCUGGGGGCUGCAUUUGAUACUUGUGAUCUAGAGUGAGGAAGAGGGUCGUGGAAUUCCCAGUGUAGAGGUGAAAUUCGUAGAUAUUGGGAAGAACACCGGUGGCGAAGGCGGCGACCUGGUCCUUGACUGACGCUGAGGCGCGAAAGCGUGGGGAGCAAACAGG
rnacentral:rRNA from 1 species